rnacentral:rRNA from 1 species
AACGAACGCUGGCGGCAUGCCUAACACAUGCAAGUCGAACGAGACCUUCGGGUCUAGUGGCGCACGGGUGCGUAACGCGUGGGAACCUGCCCUUAGGUUCGGAAUAACUCCCCGAAAGGGGUGCUAAUACCGGAUAAUGUCUUCGGACCAAAGAUUUAUCGCCUUUGGAUGGGCCCGCGUUGGAUUAGCUAGUUGGUAGGGUAAAAGCCUACCAAGGCGACGAUCCAUAGCUGGUCUGAGAGGAUGAUCAGCCACACUGGGACUGAGACACGGCCCAGACUCCUACGGGAGGCAGCAGGGGGGAAUAUUGGACAAUGGGCGAAAGCCUGAUCCAGCAAUGCCGCGUGAGUGAUGAAGGCCUUAGGGUUUAAAAGCUCUUUUCCCCGGGAUGAUAAUGACAGUCCCGGGAGAAUAAGCCCCGGCUAACCCCGU